ACCGAUUCUUAUUUUUUCCUCUCUAAGCAAAAUUAAAAAAAUCCGCGUUGUCUCGUUCGUCUCGCUCUGGAUCGGCAACAACUCUUGGAAAAGAAGCUCGUUCGCGAGGCCUACCUCGACCUUUCGGAAAUCAAAGUCAUAUUUAAAGUGUUUUUUUCGCUUAGUAUUAUUAUUUUUAAAUCAGUUAAAACUAGUUAUUUUUCUUACUUUUUUAAGAAGAUGUCGAAGUUACUGUUACUUUACAACAAAACAAUUUUUUUUACGGGACUACGCGAGAAUCCUCGGUCUCAAGUGGAAACCAUGCCGGCGUGAUCAGUGUUAUUUUAAGGACGAGAUUGGAAGGCCACGUCUAAAACGAAGUGACAGCUUGGCUUUGGCGGUACCAGAAGUGUUUUCACCAUGGAAGGACCUGGUUGUUGCCACUGACUGGCUCUGGAGUGGACCAGCCACUGUAGACAUUGUUAACAAAACUCUUGCUACAGAACAUUACCACAAGACCAAGAGGUCUUCAACUGAAAAUGUACACCUAAUAACUGACGUAACAUAUUGUAGAAUGUUGUCCCCCUUUAACAACUUUUUUGUUUGUUCUUGCAUGAGUGUGUAGCCAGGAGGACUUUUUAAAGACUAGAGCAAGUAGGUUUAACAGGGAUGUUGUUACAGAUAUGAUCACAUUGAUUGCACUGCAUCGGUUGAUUUUAAACUGCAUGUCCAUAAACCAAUCAGUUUGCAUUACCGAUUUGCAAAUACUUUUCUUAGUGGCUAGGCUCUUCUGUAUGCUGGUCCUUUUUAAAGUAUAGAAUGGUAGUUGCAAAUGUACUCCUCGAUUUGUUGAGUGACGAAAUGAACUGAUUGUAACUGCAUUUUGUUUAAAGUAAUAAAGAAAUCAAAGUUA